ACUCCUACGGGAGGCAGCAGUGGGGAAUUUUGGACAAUGGGCGCAAGCCUGAUCCAGCCAUGCCGCGUGAGUGAAGAAGGCCUUCGGGUUGUAAAGCUCUUUCGGCCGGGAAGAAAUCGUGGUCUCUAACAUAGGCCAUGGAUGACGGUACCGGACUAAGAAGCACCGGCUAACUACGUGCCAGCAGCCGCGGUAAUA
rnacentral:rRNA from 1 species